AGUCAAUAGAUACCCGGGUAGUCCUAGCCGUAAACGAUGACCACUCGCCGUGGGAGGAUCGACCCCUUCCGUGGCUAAAGUCAAACACGUUAAAGUGGUCCGCCUGGGGAGUACGACCGCAAGGUUAAAACUCAAAGGAAUUGACGGGGACCCGCACAAGCAGCGGAGCGUGUGGUUUAAUUCGAUGCAACGCGAAGAACCUUACCAGGGUUUGACAUGCUCUCGCACCUGCUCGAAAGAGCAGUGCCCGCAAGGGACGGGAGCACAGGUGCUGCAUGGCUGUCGUCAGCUCGUGCCGUGAGGUGUUGGGUUCAGUCCCUCAACGAGCGCAACCCCUAUUGCCGGUUGCUUUUUCCGGCGAAACCGCCGUCGGAAGACGGAGGAAGGUGGGGAUGACGUCAAGUCAGCACGGCCCUUACACGCUGGGCUACACACACGCUACAAUGGUCAGGACAGAGGGAAGCCAACCCGGCGAGGGGGAGCUAAUCUCAGCAAACCUGAUCUCAGUUCGGAUUGCAGGCUGCAACCCGCCUGC
rnacentral:rRNA from 1 species